UACUUUGCUAUGCGCAGUGUUUGGUGUUUAAAAUAUGUAUUUUUUUUAAAAAAUUUCUCUCUCAUUUCUCUCUAUCUCACCAUAACCCUGAGUCUAGAACCAAACCCAACGAUCUAAUGUUGUUCAUCAUCGCCGGCGAUGGUUUUUGAACAAAGGUUGUCAAAUCUUCCCUUUCCAUCUCGGCUUUUCAUUUAUCCAGUUCCAAAAGUUCCAGGCUCUACCACUACCUGUCGUCUUCUCCGUCACUAUGACCGCCGUGUCCCGUACGCAAUGUGUAGCUGGCAUCACCAUGUCGAAUACUGGUACAAGAGUUUUUGGGGGUCUGGCCGCCUCUUUCGGAAUUCUUAAAAUUUUUAUACUAAAAAAACAAAUAUUUUGAUUUUCAAAAGUUUAAAAUUUGAUAUUUUUGUCCCAUUCCAAAUCAAUAAGUUCAAAUUAAAAGGAGGAGAAGAAGAAAUUAUUUGUGUGGUGAAAAUGAAAAAAGAAAAAGAAAAGAGAUAUGGUAAUUUUAUAAAUUAAAUAAUUUUAAAUGUUGAAUAAAA